CCUACGGGUGGCAGCAGUAGGGAAUUUUCGGCAAUGGGGGGAACCCUGACCGAGCAACGCCGCGUGAACGAAGAAGUUAUUCGUAAUGUAAAGUUCUUUUAACAGGGAAGAAAGAGAAAUUUGACGGUACCUUAAGAAUAAGCUCCGGCUAACUACGUGCCAGCAGCCGCGGUAAUACGUAGGGAGCGAGCGUUAUCGGGAAUUAUUGGGCGUAAAGGGUGCGUAGAUGGCAUAGUAAGUCUUUUGUAAAAAUGCUGGGCUCAACCCAGUAGGGCAAAAGAUACUGCAAAGCUAGAGUAUGACAGAGGCAGGUGGAACUACAUGUGUAGCGGUAAAAUGCGUAGAUAUAUGUAAGAACACCGGUGGCGAAGGCGGCUUGCUGGGUCGAUACUGACAUUGAGGCACGAAAGCGUGGGGAGCAAACAGGAUUAGAUACCCCUGUAGUC
rnacentral:rRNA from 1 species